AUAAUGCACAAACUUUCCUCUCCUGAAAAUGUCUUUCAUUAUCUGUUCCCAUUCCAUUGUUUUAAGAUGUCAUUUGCUAACUAGAAAUUUGUUCUCCAUUUUUUAAGAAAUUACUCAAGACCCCCACUCAGAGCCUGAUUCACAAUCAUGAGAUAAUACCCCCACCAAAAGACUGGGCCAGUACAGGGCACUAAGGCAAAUGAAAGUCUGGGCCAUCCCACAUUCACUCCUGGACUACUUACUGAGGGCCUACAGUGUGCCCUAGGCGCAGAAACCCAUAUACACAUACAUUUUCCAUGAGGAUUCUGCAAUCAGGACAGUGGCUCACAGUCCACCCUUCAUUACUGUCCUCAAGGACCCUUGGUGCUGCAGCACCUAGGUCAGCCCAUUACUUUAGCAAUGAGGACCCUGCAGAUGAGUCAGAUAAGAGGACGUCAGGAAUAUGAAUCCCUUGGCCUUAUGUCUCCCAUCGCCCCAAGGGCUCCACUUCUGGUCCUACCUCUGCCCCCUGCUGAUCUGAAAGUGACCUGGUCUGAAUGGAGUUGAAAGGCUCUGCGGUCCCCUGGGUGCUGGAGAGAAGCCUGUUGACAAAGUCACCAGCUGUCCCCAGCAGGAGCCAAGGAGAGCUCCUCCCUGCACCACUCACACUGGGAGAGCACUCCUGUCGCAAACCUAGGCAGCAACAGAACUUGGACCAUCAGGGAGCUCCAGGCCCAGCAGUAACAAGAGCCAGGGCACAAGACCUCAGUCCGCACCAGUACCAGGCAGAAGGAGCAUCACUUGGGGUCUUCAGAGUUGCUGUUCACCAAGUUGGGUUCAAGGCCCUCCAGCUCACUGUCAUCCAGAAAGCCUGUAAAAUGCGAGGCCCAGGUCCUACGCAGGGAACUGGCCUCCAUGGGUCUAGGUGAAGCUGAGGACCUGCAUUUCUAACCGUACCCUGGGAGGUUCUGAGGAAGACUGUCAAGAUGCCCUGCUCCUCCAUCCCCUCAGGACCCACCCACAUCUCCCAGAGCUUUGUGCUGGCAACUCCCCCUGCCCACACCUCCCCCUCAGCUUGUGUCCCCCACCACUGCCCACUUGACAUGCUCCUUGGCUGCCCCAAGGUUCGUUUUAUCCAAUUCUGUAAGUCAAAGGCUGAACUCAUUAUCUUCCACCCAAACCUGCUUCUCCCCCUCCUCCUGUGUGUUCAAUUCAUAUGCCUAGCCCAGAAAUCUGACACCAGCUCCUUGUCCCCCCGCAUUGCAUUCACAGACCAGUUCUAUUGGUUCUGCCUCCAGUUUUUUCUUCUCUAACCCAAUCCCAUUCCUUCCUCUUCAUCACUACCACCCUAGUCCAAGCCACCAUCUUGUCUUUGCCUUGGCCCAUGUUAACAGCCCCUUAACUGCUCUGCCUCCCUCCCACUCUGCCUCCUCUCAUACAACAUCUAAAAGCUUAUUUCUUACUUAAAACCACCAAUGGCUUCCCAUUGCUCUCAAGAUAAAUUCUCCACCUUUUUGUCCAGCCUAUCUCUUGUCUUGAAAUGGCUUGCACCACUUUCCCCUUUACCUAAUUCCCCAUUAAAAUUGUGGAUUGCCUGGGUCUGAA